AUUCAUCUUCGGGGCAGGGUGAAAUUCCCGAUCGGCGGUAUUAGAGGCAUUUUGACCUCUUGAGCCCGCGAGCCGUUAAGGCAGGACUUGGUGAGAAUCCAGGGCCGACAGUAUAGUCUGGAUGGGAGAAGGUGAAG
rnacentral:ncRNA from 1 species